GUCCACACCAUAAACGAUGGUCACUAGUUGUCGGGGGAUUCGACCCCCUCGGCAACGACGCUAACGCAUUAAGUGACCCACCUGGGGAGUACGCUCGCAAGGGUGAAACUCAAAGGAAUUGACGGGGGCCCGCACAAGCGGUGGAGCAUGUGGUUUAAUUCGAUGCAACGCGAAGAACCUUACCUGGGCUCGAAGUGCUCUGUAAACCCAUGAAAGUGGGCUAUCCCUUCGGGGAGCGGAGUAUAGGUGCUGCAUGGCUGUCGU
rnacentral:rRNA from 1 species